AGUCGGUAACUUACCGACAUCUGUAAAUGUUUAGGUAAGGUAAAACAAUGGUUCUGGUAAUAGUACCACAAAUGAUAAUUUAUUAAUGGUAACUGUUACCGGCAUGAGUUAUGCUAUCAAACGCUUAUUUCGCGGCUUAAGGCUUUUUCCUUUGUUCACGGUUCUAUUUUGACUCUAUACUUCAUGGCUACCAAAGGUUGCUACUUUGUUCAACAAGAGAACGGAAUUUCUCAACCAAUCAGAAACUUAGGGCGGUAUUCAUAGUCCCAACUUAAAUCUGAACUUAAGAUUGACUUGAUUAAGUCUUACUUAUAAGCAAAGUCGAGCUUAUUUACAUGAUGAAUUCAUAGUUCUCAAAUAAGUCAAACUCUAUGAAGAAGCCAGUGAUGAAGUUCGACUUAUUAACAUCAAGCUUAACUUAAAGAUCAAUAUAACAACUUAAAAAACUUUGAGCAAAUAUGAAAACAGGCCAAAGAAAUAUUUUAACAAAAGAACGUCAAGCAAAAUUAGGUACUGGAGGUGGCCCAGAGCAAAAAUUGCCUGAGCUAGAUCCUGAUAUUGCUCUUAUUACACCACAUUUGUUAGAAACAGCACCAACACAGUUUUCAUGCGAUGAUUCAUAAGCUGAAAUACAUAAUAAGAGACGACUUAUUCGCAACAAUUCAGAAAUAAUAUUUGAUAUUGUGAAAAAUGGGAAAGAGGCAGAACAACAAAAAAUAGAAACAAACACAACAGAGGAUUAUACUGUUAUUGAAGUUUCAGAUGAAGAAGCUACAUUUCAGAUAGCUAAACGAUCCAUAAACGAUGUCAAUUCAAUGGAGACGAAGAAACAAGAUGCUGCACUUUUAAAUACAUAAACAUGUGAAAUGCAGGAGAAAUCUAACGCUCCUCCAUCAGAAAAAAACUUUUACAUCAAUUUCUACGUCAUCUAUGAUCCAGAAGAAAAAAGCAAAACCCAAAGAUAUUUAUGAUGUUAAGAAUCAAUCUGUGGAAAUAAACUCUGAACAGGAACUCAAAAUUCAACGUCUUAAACAAAUAAUGGAGCAAGAAAAAGAACUAUUAGAAAUAAAAUUAAAAAGAAAAAAUAACUUAUUAGCUCACGAAUUUUGUGUUCAAGAAUUAACAGUGGAACAUAUGAAGCAACUGCAUAAAUUUCAGUUGUGCGAAGCUCAAGCAAAAUAUGAACUAAGUGAGUUGCUAUUAAAUAAAGAAACAGAAAUUGAUAAAAUACAAGAUGAUUAAUGAUUCUCAUUUUCAAAUAUAUUAUGUAAUGAAACUUUUAAAAAACUAUAUUACAAAAAAAACUAAAAGUUCUACCAA